UACGUAGGGGGCUAGCGUUGUCCGGAUUUAUUGGGCGUAAAGAGCGUGUAGGCGGCCAGGUAGGUCUGCUGUGAAAACUCGAGGCUUAACCUCGAGAUGUCGGCGGAAACCAUCUGGCUAGAGUCCGGAAGAGGAGAGUGGAAUUCCAGGUGUAGCGGUGAAAUGCGUAGAUAUCUGGAGGAACACCGGUGGCGAAGGCGGCAUCCUGGACUACUACUGACGCUGAGUGAGCGAAAGCCAGGGGAGCAAACGGG
rnacentral:rRNA from 1 species